UACGUAGGGUGCAAGCGUUGUCCGGAAUUAUUGGGCGUAAAGAGCUCGUAGGCGGUCUGUCACGUCGGCUGUGAAAACCCGAGGCUCAACCUCGGGCCUGCAGUCGAUACGGGCAAACUAGAGUACUGCAGGGGAGACUGGAAUUCCUGGUGUAGCGGUGAAAUGCGUAGAUAUCGUAAGGAAGACCAGUGGCGAAGGCGAAUCUCUGGACAGUUACUGACACUGAGGCACGAAGGCCAGGGGAGCAAACGGG
rnacentral:rRNA from 1 species